rnacentral:lncRNA from 1 species
AGUAGACAAGAGGAUCCAUCUAGAAGUGGACAAGAGGAUGCAUGAACAAUUUGCUAGUUUCAUGACCAGAAUGCAACAACAACAACAACAAUAGGUACUUGCUCUGCUGCUUCUUAACAAUUCUUCUUCCUUCUCGGCAUUUCUUCUUCCCUCAUUCUGGACAAUUCUUCUGUCACUUACUCCCUUUCUUCUUAUCAACUUCUCCUUCUUUAACUUUCAUCCUCUUGGUAAUAGACUAUUGGACUGUUUUUUGUUUAUGUGAAAUCUGGAUUUUUGCAAACCUUAGUUUUGUGGGCUUCGGGGGUUUAAUUAGUUGAUAAUAGACUAUUGGGCUUUUUUUGUUUAUGUGAGAUCUGAAUUUUUGCAAACCUUAGUUGUGUGGGCUGCUUCAGGGGCUGCUGCUGCUGCUGAAAUCUGGAUUUUUGCAAACCUUAGUUGUACCGUAGCUGCUUCAGGGGUUGUUGCUGCUGAAAUCUAGAUUUUGCAAACCGUGGUUGUACCGUAGCUGUUUUUUGCAAACCGUGGUUGUACCGUAGCUGUUUUUUGCAAACCUUAGUUGUGUGGGCUGCUGCUGCUGUUUAGUUAGUACUUCUAUGGUUUCUCCUAGUGUUGAUUCAUGACAAUUUAUACUAGUUAAUGAGUGGCCUUGUUGUUGAUCCCAUGUUGGAUGAUCAAAUAUUCCCUCUUAUAUAUAACUUAAGUAGAAAGAUCCCAUGUUUUAUUACCUCUUCAUGUUUAUUAUUUGGAGCAAUUAAUAGAUUGCAAUUUGCAACUAGCUGCAAAUAAGCUAUCCAUAUGAUCUGCUAGAAAAAUUGAGAAGGAUGUAAAUGGAAUAUUGUCACCUGCUGUAACCUUAGCAGGAUAGUUCAA